rnacentral:lncRNA from 10 species
GUCAGAACAAAACAGGAAGACCCAACAGAAUUCUCUUUAUUCUCCUCUGGCCCUUUCCUCUGUUCUUCAGCCCCAACAGCUUCUCAAGAGGCAUGCUCACUCUCUGUCACCCAGGCUGGAGUGCAGUGGUGCAAGAUCAUAACUCAUUGCAGCCUCGAACUCCUGGACUCAGGCAAUCCUCCUGCCUCAGCUUCCUGUGUGCAUGAGUCUUCAAUCACCUGCCCAGAAGAGACAUGUAUCACUUCCGCUCACAUUGCAUUGACUAAAGACGACAAACUUGGAAACUACAUUUCCCUGAUCUUGCCAACAGUAUUCAGCCCGGACUCCACCAAUGAGAGGCACUUGCAUGAGAUUUGGUUGGGAAGAAAAGGAGAAGCCAUUGUUUUCUUGAGGCAGCAGCAGAUGGCUGACAUGGAAUUUUGCCUAAAACUUUUGGGUGUUCUCCUGAAAAUACUCCAACUGGCUCUACAGGCAGCUGAGAGCAAUGGCAGUGGCUUCCUUGUGAUUCCUGCACUACCAGAUUUCCUGAAAGAGGUGUCCCGAUCACUAUCACUCUUGCAGCUUUCCUAGAGUUAUUUAAGCCUCUAAUUCCCUGUAUAAGCCUCCUUCUAUCUGAGAUACCUAGAGGGGUAUCUGUUUUUCUGACUGUACCAUAGCAGAUAAAAGGACCUAGUCUGCAAGCUUCCACUGGAAAUUCUAGGAGAGUGAAACUUGAGGUAGAGGUCCCCUAAGUCCCUUAGAGCAGUUGCAAUGGUACCUUUGGAAUUGAUGGUUCUUGACUUUAGGGAUUGUGAGCUUUUUCCAAGUAGUCACCCAAACCUGUGCUUGUUGGAUCUAAGAAAAUAGAGUUCAUGUAUGAAAUGAAAACAAUUAACAUUGAAUCUAUAAAGCUGUAUAAUCUACUGAGACGAAAGAAAUGGGAUAGAAAAAGUUUAAUGUUUUACUACACACAUGUAACUGCAUAAAAUGUAUCUGAAGAGCACACAAGAAACAGACAACAGAACAGAGAACUAAGUGGUGGUUAUGGUUUGAAUGAUGGUGUUCCCUCCAAAUUUCAUGUUGAAACUUGAUCCUUAUCGUGGUGACUUUAAAGGCAUGGGGACUUUUAGGAGGUAAUCAGGUCAUGAGGGUUCUUCCCUCAUGAAUGGGAUUAAGGUCUUUAUAAAAGAGGCUUCACACAGAGCUUGACCCUUUCUUGCCCUCUGUCUCUGUCUCACACGAGGACACACUGUUCCUCCUCUCCAGAGGAUGCAGCAACAAGGCACCAGCUUGGAAGCAGAGAUCAAACCCUUAUCAGAUGCCAAACCUGCUUAUGCCUUGAUCUGGGACUUCCCAGCCUCCAGAACCAUGAGAAAUAAAUUUCUAUUGUUUGUGAAUUACCCGGUCUAUGGUAUUUUGCACAAACGAACUAAGACAGGGGCUAGAGGGCAGGGGCUGAGGGAGGACUUGCUUUCCAUUGUAUAUGCUCCUGUAGCUUCUGAAUUUUAUACUGUGUGCAUGUAUUAUCUACUCCAAAAUUAUAUUAAUGUUUAAUAACAUGAGUUGCAUACCAUUUUAUAAUCAUCACAUUUUCAAAAACCACAAACUCUGACAAUAUAAAAUGUUGAACACGGAACAAGGAAAUGAGAAUUUACACCUACUGUUUGUGGGAGUCUGUAGAACUACUUACCAGGGUCUAUGGAUGAAUGUCAAUCUGGUAAUAUCUAGUAAAGUUUAAAUGCACAAACCCCAUGAUCAGCAAUUUCUCUUCUGUGUAUAGAUGGUGGAGAAACACUCAUACAUCAGGAGAAAGGUAUAGAGAUUUUUAUUGCAGCAUUGUUUAUAAUAGUGGAAAAUUGGAAUUAUAAAAAUAUUCAUUAAUAGGAGAACAAAUAAAUAAA